rnacentral:lncRNA from 1 species
GCCCGAGAAAAAAACGAGCAGCACAUACUGCACAUCCCUGCAGGUGGGUUGACCGAGGACCAUUGGGAAGGCCCAAAGAUCGGCCCACAUCCCAAGGCCCGAUUCGGCAGGUCCACACCUAAGGGAGAAAAAACUAGGCCAAACACCUGACCCAACAAGCCUGCCAAGUAGUCUGGCCCAGCAAUAGUUGCGGGCCUAGCUGAGGAGGAACCUGCACGGGCCGUGGACCGAUGAGGCUUGAGGGCUAUGCGCAUGUGUGGGCUUCCCUAGCUUGUACGGUUGACGUGUUUGUGGUAAAUUUUUGGACUUUUUUUCUACAU